CAGGUGAUGUCCCUUGUCACCCAGAUGUCCCCAUCACCCAGGUGUCCUUUGCCACCCGGGUGUCCCCAUCACUCAGGUGUCCUUUGUCACCCAAGUGUCCUUUGUCACCAGGAUCUCCACGUCACCCAAGUGUCCUUUGUCACCCAGGUGUCCCCUGUCACCCAGGUGACGUCCUCGGUCACCCAGAUGCCCUUUGCCACUUGGGUGUCCUU
rnacentral:lncRNA from 1 species